CAACAGGGAUUGCUCAGUAACGGCGAGUGAAGCGGCAACAGCUCAAAUUUGAAAUCUGGCCUUCGGGUCCGAGUUGUAAUUUGCAGAGGAUGCUUUUGACGAGGUGGCGACCGAGUGCCCUGGAACGGGCCGCCGUAGAGGGUGAGAGCCCCGUAUGGUCGCACUGCCGAGUCUCUGUAAAGCUCCUUCAACGAGUCGAGUAGUUUGGGAAUGCUGCUCUAAAUGGGAGGUGUAUGUCUUCUAAAGCUAAAUACCGGCCAGUGACCGAUAGCGCACAAGUAGAGUGAUCGAAAGGUGAAAAGAACUUUGAAAAGAGAGUUAAAAAGUACGUGAAAUUGUCAAAAGGGAAGCAUUUAUGACCAGACUUGGGCGUGGUUGAUCAUCCGGCGUUCUCGCCGGUGCACUCUGCCCGCCUAGGCCAGCAUCAGUUCGCUUCGGGGGAGAAAGGCUUCGGGAAUGUAGCUCCUUCGGGAGUGUUAUAGCCCGUUGCGUAAUGCCCUGGGGUGGACUGAGGUCCGCGCUCGCGCUUGGAUGUUGGCAUAAUGUCAUCAAUGACCCGUCUUGAAACACGGACCAAGGAGUCGUCUUCGUAUGCGAGUGUUCGGGUGUCAAACCCCUACGCGAAAUGAAAGUGAACGCAGGUGGGAGCCUCGGCGCACCACCGACCGAUCCUGAUGUUCUCGGAUGGAUUUGAGUAAGAGCAUACGGGGCCGGACCCGAAAGAAGGUGAACUAUGCCUGUGUAGGGUGAAGCCAGAGGAAACUCUGGUGGAGGCUCGCAGCGGUUCUGACGUGCAAAUCGAUCGUCAAACAUGGGCAUGGGGGCGAAAGACUAAUCGAACCUUC
rnacentral:rRNA from 1 species